rnacentral:rRNA from 1 species
AACGAACGCUGGCGGCAUGCCUAACACAUGCAAGUCGAACGAGACCUUCGGGUCUAGUGGCGCACGGGUGCGUAACGCGUGGGAACCUGCCCUUAGGUUCGGAAUAGCUCCCCGAAAGGGGUGCUAAUACCGGAUAAUGUCUUCGGACCAAAGAUUUAUCGCCUUUGGAUGGGCCCGCGUUGGAUUAGCUAGUUGGUAGGGUAAAAGCCUACCAAGGCGACGAUCCAUAGCUGGUCUGAGAGGAUGAUCAGCCACACUGGGACUGAGACACGGCCCAGACUCCUACGGGAGGCAGCAGUGGGGAAUAUUGGACAAUGGGCGAAAGCCUGAUCCAGCAAUGCCGCGUGAGUGAUGAAGGCCUUAGGGUUGUAAAGCUCUUUUACCCGGGAUGAUAAUGACAGUACCGGGAGAAUAGGCUCCGGCUAACUCCGUG